rnacentral:rRNA from 1 species
GACGAACGCUGGCGGCGUGCUUAACACAUGCAAGUCGAACGGAAAGGCCCUGCUUUUGUGGGGUGCUCGAGUGGCGAACGGGUGAGUAACACGUGAGUAACCUGCCCUUGACUUUGGGAUAACUUCAGGAAACUGGGGCUAAUACCGGAUAGGAGCUCCUGCUGCAUGGUGGGGGUUGGAAAGUUUCGGCGGUUGGGGAUGGACUCGCGGCUUAUCAGAUUGUUGGUGGGGUAGUGGAUUACCAAGGCUUUGACGGGUAGCCGGCCUGAGAGGGUGACCGGCCACAUUGGGACUGAGAUGCGGCACAGACUCCUCCGGGAGGCAGCGGUGGGGAAUAUUGCACAAUGGGAGGAAGCCUGAUGCAGCAACGCCGCGUGCGGGAUGACGGCAUUCGGGUUGUAAACCGCUUUCGCCUGUGACGAAGCGUGAGUGACGGUAAUGGGUAAAGAAGCACCGGCUAACUACGUG